rnacentral:rRNA from 1 species
UACGUAGGGAGCAAGCGUUGUCCGGAAUCAUUGGGCGUAAAGCGCGCGUAGGUGGCCCCGUAAGUCCGCUGUGAAAGUCAAAGGCUCAACCUUUGAAAGCCGGUGGAUACUGUGGGACUAGAGUACGGAAGAGGCGAGUGGAAUUCCUGGUGUAGCGGUGAAAUGCGUAGAUAUCAGGAGGAACACCGGUGGUGUAGACGGCUUUCUGGACCGUAACUGACGCUGAGACACGAAAGCGUGGGUAGCAAACAGG